rnacentral:rRNA from 1 species
CGGCCUUGACAUACUAAGAACUUUCCAGAGAUGGAUUGGUGCCUUCGGGAACUUAGAUACAGGUGCUGCAUGGCUGUCGUCAGCUCGUGUCGUGAGAUGUUGGGUUAAGUCCCGCAACGAGCGCAACCUUUUCCUAUUUGCCAGCGGGUCAUGCCGGGAACUUUAAGGAUACUGCCAGUGACAAACUGGAGGAAGGCGGGGACGACGUCAAGUCAUCAUGGCCCUUACGGCCAGGGCUACACACGUGCUACAAUGGUCGGUACAAAGGGUUGCUACCUCGCGAGAGGAUGCUAAUCUCAAAAAGCCGAUCGUAGUCCGGAUCGCAGUCUGCAACUCGACUGCGUGAAGUCGGAAUCGCUAGUAAUCGCGGAUCAGAAUGCCGCGGUGAAUACGUUCCCGGGCCUUGUACACACCGCCCGUCACACCAUGGGAGUUUGUUGCACCAGAAGUAGGUAGUCUAACCGCAAGGAGGACGCUUACCACGGUGUGGCCGAUGACUGGGGUGAAGUCGUAACAAGGUAGGCGUAGAUGA